UUAUGGCUCAGGAUGAACGCUGGCGGCGUGCCUAACACAUGCAAGUCGAGCGAUUCUCUUCGGAGAAGAGCGGCGGACGGGUGAGUAACGCGUGGGUAACCUGCCCUAUACACACGGAUAACGUACCGAAAGGUACGCUAAUACGAGAUAAUAUGCUUUAGUCGCAUGGCUGAAGUAUCAAAGCUCCGGCGGUAUAGGAUGGACCCGCGUCUGAUUAGCUAGUUGGUAAGGUAAUGGCUUACCAAGGCGACGAUCAGUAGCCGACCUGAGAGGGUGAUCGGCCACAUUGGAACUGAGACACGGUCCAAACUCCUACGGGAGGCAGCAGUGGGGAAUAUUGCACAAUGGGCGAAAGCCUGAUGCCAGCAACGCCGCGUGAGCGAUGAAGGCCUUCGGGUCGUAAAGCUCUGUCCUCAAGGAAGAUAAUGACGGUACUUGAGGAGGAAGCCCCGGCUAACUACGUGCCAGCCGCGGC
rnacentral:rRNA from 1 species